rnacentral:rRNA from 1 species
AACGGCCGUACCAUGCUGAAUAUACCGGUUCUCGUUAGAUCACCGAAGUCAAGCAUCAUUGGGCGUGGUCAGUACUUGGGAGGGUGACCACCUGGGAACACCGCAUGCCGUU